UGUCCCGUAUCUCUCCCGAUCCCUCUUCUCCGUCUUCCUCAUCUCGAGCGUCCUGCGCGAUAGGAUUCCUGGCUGCCGCUGCUCCGCCUCCCGGCAGCAUAUACCCCUUCCCGCCGCCGCCCCAAUGACCUGCUGCUCCGUCCUGACAAAGUUGCACCGCUAUGAGCCCCAGUGCGAUGCUCGACUUCCCUCUGCAGCCUCCGCCUCCUCUUCCCAAUCUGGGCAUAUGCACCGACUAGCAGUGGAGCUCGGGGAGGGGCGGCGGUGCCGGUUCUGGCGCGGGCGAGGUCGAGGUGGGCACAGCGGCGAAGGAGCACAGGUCGAGUGCGGCUAACGGUGGUGCGCUGGUCCGGCUGGGCGAGCUCGAGCCUUGCACGACGGCGGCGGAGCGCGGGUGGUGGGGUCAUCCGUCGAUUACGGAGUUUAUGUAAGAAGUUGGCUAGAAGAGAGGGCACCACUUGCGGUGGGUGAUUAGUAAUUUAAGGAGAAUAUUACAACGGGAAUGCGAGCGGCGCGGUGGAUUGGUAUCCACAAUGCUUUUGCCGCGUAUGAACUAGAGGUACAGUUUCACUACAAUAUUGAUGAUAAGUGCAACAUAUUGUGCAAAGGAAUGAAGAUGGUUUAUUUCUGCCUUUGUGGUGUUGUUUCCAUGCCGGUGCCGGUCAAUAUUUGACAGGCUUGUUUUGGCUGCGGAGGGUGUCCUCCCAGAUUUUUCUUUCUCCCCAUGGAUUACAGGGUAGGGGCUGUAGUGGUGGAUGCUUCCUGUCUGUCAUCAUGUGUUGAUGUUGGUGCGAUCCAUUGGGGUUUGGAUUAAGUGCUUUGUGGCUGCCUGGAUGUGGUGCUGUCGAUGGGUUUGUUUUUUUAGAAGAAAAGGGCUCUUGCCCCGGCUCCAUUUGAUUGAAUAAAACAAAGCCAAAUUUUUGUCGAUGGUUUAUUUGGUGUGGGUUAGUGUCUCAGUGUGGUGUUCAUCACUUUCGUGGGUGUUUCGUUUUAUAGGAUGUACCAUCGUUUGAUUUUUGUUAUAUGUUUGGUUGAGGUGUUUACUAAUCUGGUACAUUGUUGUCCAAUGGCUGCUUACAUAUAGGACCUUUACCUACAAUCUCCACGACCGGCCGGACAGCUUCUCUCUAAUUAAGAAGCCUGUCAAAUAUCCGCGAACCUCUGACUUGUAGUCCGUCAAUUGUAAAUGUAGGUCUUAUGGCUAAAAUAUGUGGAUUCAGAAUUUACUUGCCGAGUAGAGUGCCGAUGAUUUGAAGUUGUGAUGCAUUAAGGCAAGGAUCCUUAUUUUUCAUUUGUCAGCAUUCCUGUGUUAUUUCCAUAUUUUUGUUCUUGCGAUUUUCUCAUCUAGAUAAUUUGUUCAGAUCUCAUGAGGUUUGGAAAUUGGCAUCUUUCCAUUGCUUAGUACAGAAGCAUUUUUUAUGGCUGAAUAAAUCUUGGUACUUCUAGGUUUGCCGGGCGGUUUGAGGCCAAUGCCGGUGGUGCCAUUCGUGUUUAGGUGUGCGGCUGUCAGAUUUGGUCUUUCGCUUUGCUAUUGUCACUGUCUUUGUGUCACCUAGGCAGAGUUCGUCCUAUGGUCCCGCUGAUUUUCUUUUAGUUGGUCUUGCUGUUGUGUGGUCAUGUCGUUGUAUUUGGUUGAGCUCUAGGCUAGAUGGAGAGCGGUGCGGCUGGUCAUGUCUGGCACUGUCAGAAGCGCGCUGGUAUACUUGAUUGUGGCCAUACGGCCUUUUAUGUUUCAUCCCUUUUGUAUUCCCGUUGAUAAAAAAGGCGGAGCCACACCUUAAAUUGGCAUGGUGAUGUUGGAUGGCAGUUGGCCAGUCAGUUAGGUUGAUUAUUCAAGAAAUCAAUGUGUGUAUAUCUGACAAAAUGAUAAUCACAGUAAACUAAAAAGCUUAGAGGUUGAGUUUAAAAGAAAGUUCAGAAGCACUGAAGGCUCAUGUUUCUACGGUCAUAUUUAAAGCUCCAGUUCUGAGUGGUGUUUCUGAAAAAGAGAUUAUCAACAUCUGCAUAUGUACCAUGUGUUCAUAAUAGCAUUCAUGUCUCAUUCUUUGUUUGUCAUUAUUUUUCUCUCUGCAUAUUGUGGAGGUCCGGUUCAAAUUAUUGAUAUUUUCAUAUAAAUUUUAUAACUUACCAAACAAGGUCCUAAAAAAGUAGAGCCACAAGUUUCAGAAAUAAGAUGUUUAUAACUAUGCAGACAAGGUUCUGAACUUCUGAUAAAGAAGAUCCAAAAGUUUCAGAAAUAAGGUAGGGAAAAUGAAAGGUAAACCAUGCAGGCAAAUGACUUUGCAUAUCAAAGAACAACUAUUAAUAUGAGUAACUUAUACAUGCACAAUGGUAUGAAUGUCACAAUAAGACUUUACUUCUGCUAUUACCCUGUGUGUUGCUUCAGUAAAUUAAGUUUAUAUGCUUAGCUUGGUCUACAUAAUUUGAGGUUACUAUUUUUAGCCCCCUGAGCAAAUUUGCAGGUCAGCAACAGGUACGUAUAACAGAAUCCAUUAUGUUUUUCAGAUUCACUCCGAGAACAAGCUGAAUGGAGCUCCGUGGCACCAAAUGCAGUCGUGAAAAACACAAUUUAUAUGCAUACACGUGAUUUAAAAGUGCAUUGUGAACUUCUUAUGCUACAUGUGUUGUUUUUAAAAUUGAUUGAGAUAGUUUAGUGGCCUUACCAUGUUUAACAAUCUCUAACUCAUGAAGGGAAGUCAUGCUUACAAUAGUGUUGAUUGUAAGGUCGAUGAAAAUCUGUCAUGUAUGCUGGACUAUGCUACAUGUUAUUCGUCAUUUUGGCAUCAACAUGCUAUACAAAUUUCUCUUGCUAA